rnacentral:tRNA from 1 species
GGAGAGGUGGCCGAGUGGUCGAAAGGCGCAGCACUGGAAAUGCUGUAACGGGGUAACUCGUUCGAGGGUUCGAAUCCCUCCCUCUCCG